AAAACUUUACAAUCCUGGGAACAGCGAUAAGGGAACCUCGAGUGCCAGGUUACAAAUUUGGCUGUCGUGAUGCCUAAAAAGCAUUAUAUAGCAAGGGCCGGGCAAGACCGGUGCCAGCCGCCGCGGUAACACCGGCGGCUCGAGUGGUAACCGUUAUUAUUGGGUCUAAAGGGUCUGUAGCCGGCCGGAUAAGUCUCUUGGGAAAUCUGGCAGCUCAACUGUCAGGCUUUCAGGGGAUACUGUCUGGCUCGAGGCCGGGAGAGGUGAGAGGUACUUCAGGGGUAGGGGUGAAAUCUUGUAAUCCUUGAAGG
rnacentral:rRNA from 1 species